AUAAAAACGAUGAUAGGAACUAGUAGCAAGGCUGUGUUGUUGAGAGAGUUAGCGGGUGGUGCGAGCUAAUCAACACGAAUUGUGAACUCAUCCUUAAGUGCUCCAGUGAAAAGAGUAGUUGGAGACGUGCAUUUCGCGUUAAGAAAUUGAAGUGGAUACACUAUAUUUUGGUGUGUUAAUGCCGGGUGGUACCGCGGGAAGCAAAUUCUCGUCCCGAAA
rfam:Brochothrix thermosphacta DSM 20171 = FSL F6-1036 c22, whole genome shotgun sequence.